AUUUGAAAUAAAUAUUUGUAUUUCAACAGUGAUGUAAUAACUUGCUAUCUUUUUUACAGUAAAAUAAAUUGGUUUUUUGAGUAUUUGUGUGCAAAUAAAUAAAAGUAAUACAAACGAAAGUAUCGCAAAUAUAUACAAUUUUCUGUAAACAGAACAAUUUUAUUUAAAAAAAUACAAAUAUAAGUGCUGCAUGCACCCACAGAUAAAAAUUAUAAACGACUACAUAGUGUUUGGCCGUCAUUUCACCUUUUUUGAGGUGGAAAAGAAGCCUUAGAUAGUGAACGCACUAUAUCAGCCCUUUUUACUUUAUCUUUGAAGACACCUAACGUAAAGGAGGAUAAUUAUAUGUUCGUCUGGAUAGGAGGAAGGUUUACAACAAAAGGAUGGACCAACCGUAGUGUGUCUAGUUGUCCCCUUGGAAAAAGGGGAUACGUCCUUCAAUUCUUUUACACACACUCCAAAAUGUAUCCUAUAUAAUACGCUAGCUACUUUAAACCUAUUCUUGAGUCUAGUUCGAUUGAUUUUAACUAAGUUGGUAUUACCAAUAAUCCUUUUGCACUUCUCUCCAUAGAGUCUAAAGCCAUAAAGUAACUCGUGAAGUCGUCAAGCAGCGGUAGCCAAAACGAGACAAAAAUACUAAACCUACAACCUUAACUGUACUUUGCAGAGACUAAUAAGCUAUCCCAGAAUAAGUAUUGCCGUAUCUUUGCCAGAAAACUAUUUUUUUUUGCGGCACUACCUUAGCAUCAGCCUCAAUUAACCAUUCAAAGUACAGGUUCAAGAAUAACUCAAUACCCAAAAAUGAAGGCGGUCUGUAUAGUUCAAGCAUAGGUCCGUUAUCGAAAGUUGGAGCCAGGGUUAUGCAUUUCUCUUAUAGUGACUUUUUUUCUUACUGUAUGUGAUCCUUGUUGGCUCCAGUGCUGGUUUCAACCACUCCGCAACAGUUAUUUACGUAAAGCACUCUUUUAGAAGCAAGUUCUUGUAGAGCACAUUUGUUCAAAAAUAUUACAAUGUCCAAGUUAUUUUCUGGCCAUCGAUGUAUAAUUGGUAGACGAUGGCCUAUAUAAUUCUGCUCAUACUGGUGUUCACCAGAAUGUAGAACGUGGAUAAUUUUUAUGAUCUUCAGUGUGACAUAGAGUACUAUAGAUUUACACACAUGUAUUUUCACCUUAGACAUGUCUAAUAAUUCUCUCUUUUUAUAACUUUUAUAAUUCUCUCUUUUUAAAACAACGUGUUAAAUUUCAUACGAUAAAUAUUUUUACUAAAAUAGCAGUUCUUUUUUCAAAUCAAUAAUUUUAUCAUUUAAUUGAUUUGAAGGAAGUACAAAUAUCAAUAAAUAGUAAAAAAAUUAACUUUAAAUAUUGGAGAUUCCUAUUUUUUUUUUUGUCUACAGUUGAUACAAAUUUUAAAUUAAUUAACAAAACUAAUGUUAUUUUUGCUUGCAUUCAUAAAUUUGUGAUGGAUCGGAGCUUUGUUGACAUUAUCUUAUAUAUAUAUGUUAUAUUAAAAGGGAAAAUAAAAUUUAUUUAGAAAGUCUA